rnacentral:lncRNA from 1 species
CUGGUAUUAAACGAAGUCCAUGAGUUUGUGGUGAAAGCUGUGCAGCAGUACCCAGAGAAUGCAGCAUUGCAGAUCUCAGCGCUCAGCUGUUUGGCCCUCCUCACUGAGACUAUUUUCUUAAAUCAAGAUUUAGAGGAAAAGAAUGAGAAUCAAGAGAAUGAUGAUGAGGGGGAAGAAGAUAAAUUGUUUUGGCUGGAAGCCUGUUACAAAGCAUUAACGUGGCAUAGAAAGAACAAGCACGUGCAGGAGGCCGCAUGCUGGGCACUAAAUAAUCUCCUUAUGUACCAAAACAGUUUACAUGAGAAGAUUGGAGAUGAAGAUGGCCAUUUCCCAGCUCAUAGGGAAGUGAUGCUCUCCAUGCUGAUGCAUUCUUCAUCAAAGGAAGUUUUCCAGGCAUCUGCGAAUGCAUUGUCAACUCUCUUAGAACAAAAUGUGUCUUCUUGGCUAGAAGCUAGCCACUUUGGGAAAGGUUAUUACAACUUCUGAUGUGAUCAAGCAAAGUAACC